GUUGAACGCUGGCGGCAGGCCUAACACAUGCCAGUCGAACGGUAACAGGAAGAAGCUUGCUUCUUUGCUGACGAGUGGCGGACGGGUGAGUAAUGUCUGGGAAACUGCCUGAUGGAGGGGGAUAACUACUGGAAACGGUAGCUAAUACCGCAUAACGUCGCAAGACCAAAGAGGGGGACCUUCGGGCCUCUUGCCAUCGGAUGUGCCCAGAUGGGAUUAGCUUGUUGGUGGGGUAACGGCUCACCAAGGCGACGAUCCCUAGCUGGUCUGAGAGGAUGACCAGCCACACUGGAACUGAGACACGGUCCAGACUCCUACGGGAGGCAGCAGUGGGGAAUAUUGCACAAUGGGCGCAAGCCUGAUGCAGCCAUGCCGCGUGUAUGAAGAAGGCCUUCGGGUUGUAAAGUACUUUCAGCGGGGAGGAAGGGAGUAAAGUUAAUACCUUUGCUCAUUGACGUUACCCGCAGAAGAAGCACCGGCUAACUCCGUG
rnacentral:rRNA from 1 species